CGUUCAAUCAAGUAGCCUUUAUCUUUGUCACAACUGACGAACCUAAUAGAUUACUAGUAACUACUGCGCCUCCAAAGCUAGUGAAGCUCGUUUUUAUUAAUUAAUUAUUUCUACGAAAAGCAAUAAAUUCAGUUGUAAGAAAAUGAAGGCAAAAAAACGACUACACAAACUUGUUUCUGCUAUUAAGAAAUCCAAGCAGCAGAUGAUACAAGACGGCGGCGAUGUCGCUACCAUCGUUACGAUAAUCUUGGUAGUUGCCUUGUGCUGCUUUUUAAGAGAAUUAUCAUACUGAUGCCAAAGACGGGCGAGGGAAAAUGCCUCUGGUGGAACCCCCACACUUUAAAAUCCCUCCCAGAGUUGAUGGUAAAGCAGGGUAUAAUACUUUAAUUUGAAAUAUAGAAUAAUAAAAAUAAAGUUUCUCUA